rnacentral:lncRNA from 1 species
UUUUUUCUUUCCAAUGCCCCUUGGCAAUCAUUAUUCCAACUGACCGUUUGAUCUCUUUCUCUUUUUUAGGUUCAGGCGUUUCUUGUAUUGCUUUUUUUUUACUCUUCUUUUCUCUUUUCCUUUUUGUUUUUUUUUUUUGUUUUUUUUUUUAGCAGGACCAACCUCGAUUCCUUUUAUUUGCUCACAACAAGCCUCAGCACUUUACCGGACCUCACUCUACAAGUGCACUGAUUCGAACUCAACAGUAUGAGUUACCUCAACCGGUCAAACAACUUGCUCCGGUUUACCGGAUGCCCCUCUCCUGUUUGGGACUUUGUCAUCAUGUCUUCAACAUGGCAUUCACUUU